rnacentral:rRNA from 1 species
UACGUAGGGAGCAAGCGUUGUCCGGAAUCAUUGGGCGUAAAGCGCGCGUAGGUGGCCUCUUAAGUCCGCUGUGAAAGCCCAAGGCUCAGCCUUGGAAAGCCGGUGGAUACUGUGAGGCUAGAGUACGGAAGAGGCGAGUGGAAUUCCUGGUGUAGCGGUGGAAUGCGCAGAUAUCAGGAAGAACACCAACGGCGAAGGCAGCUCGCUGGGACGGAACUGACGCUAAGGCGCGAAAGCGUGGGGAGCGAACAGG